UUAAGUUAAUAAGGGCGCACGGUGGAUGCCUUGGCACUAGGAGCCGACGAAGGACGUGACAAACGACGAUAUGCCUUGGGUAGCUGUAAGUAAGCGAUGAUCCAGGGAUUUCCGAAUGGGGGAACCCAACAGGUAAUACCUGUUACCUACAUCUGUUAAGGAUGUGAGGAGGAAGACGCAGUGAACUGAAACAUCUAAGUAGCUGCAGGAAGAGAAAGCAAAAGCGAUUGCCUUAGUAGCGGCGAGCGAAACGGCAGAAGGGCAAACCGAAGAGUUUACUCUUCGGGGUUGUAGGUCUGCAAUGUGGACUCAAAGAUUAUAGAAGAAUGAUUUGGGAAGAUCAGCCAAAGAGAGUAAUAGCCUCGUAUUUAAAAUAGUCUUUGUACUUAGCAGUAUCCUGAGUACGGCGGGACACGUGAAAUCCCGUCGGAAUCUGGGAGGACCAUCUCCCAACCCUAAAUACUCCCUAGUGACCGAUAGUGAACCAGUACCGUGAGGGAAAGGUGAAAAGCACCCCGGGAGGGGAGUGAAAUAGAACCUGAAACCGUGUGCCUACAACAAGUUCGAGCCCGUUAAUGGGUGAGAGCGUGCCUUUUGUAGAAUGAACCGGCGAGUUACGUUAUGAUGCGAGGUUAAGUUGAAGAGACGGAGCCGUAGGGAAACCGAGUCUGAAUAGGGCGCCUUAGUAUCAUGACGUAGACCCGAAACCAUGUGACCUACCCAUGAGCAGGUUGAAGGUGCGGUAAGACGCACUGGAGGACCGAACCAGGGCACGUUGAAAAGUGCUUGGAUGACUUGUGGGUAGCGGAGAAAUUCCAAACGAACUUGGAGAUAGCUGGUUCUCUCCGAAAUAGCUUUAGGGCUAGCGUCGACAUUAGAGAUUCUUGGAGGUAGAGCACUGUUUGGGUGAGGGGUCCAUCCCGGAUUACCAAUCUCAGAUAAACUCCGAAUGCCAAUGAAUUAUGGUCGGCAGUCAGACUGCGAGUGCUAAGAUCCGUAGUCGAAAGGGAAACAGCCCAGACCACCAGCUAAGGUCCCAAAAUAAUUGUUAAGUGGAAAAGGAUGUGGGGUUGCACAGACAACUAGGAUGUUAGCUUAGAAGCAGCUAUUCAUUCAAAGAGUGCGUAAUAGCUCACUAGUCGAGUGACCCUGCGCCGAAAAUGUACCGGGGCUAAAACAAUUUACCGAAGCUGUGGAUACCUUUAUAGGUAUGGUAGGAGAGCGUUCUAUGUGUGAUGAAGGUAUACCGUGAGGAGUGCUGGAACGCAUAGAAGUGAGAAUGCCGGUAUGAGUAGCGAAAGACAGGUGAGAAUCCUGUCCACCGUAAGACUAAGGUUUCCAGGGGAAGGCUCGUCCGCCCUGGUUAGUCGGGACCAAGGAGAGACCGAAAGGUGUAUCCGAUGGACAACAGGUUGAUAUUCCUGUACUAGAGUAUGUAGUGAUGGAGGGACGCAGUAGGCUAACUAAAGCAGACGAUUGGAAGAGUCUGUCUAAGCAGUGAGGUGUGAAUUGAGUCAAAUGCUUAAUUCUAUAACAUUGAGCUGUGAUGGGGAGCGAAGUUUAGUAGCGAAGUUAGUGACGUCACACUGCCAAGAAAAGCUUCUAGCGUUUAAACAUACUCUACCCGUACCGCAAACCGACACAGGUAGUCGAGGCGAGUAGCCUCAGGUGAGCGAGAGAACUCUCGUUAAGGAACUCGGCAAAAUGACCCCGUAACUUCGGGAGAAGGGGUGCUGACUUAAAGUCAGCCGCAGUGAAUAGGCCCAAGCAACUGUUUAUCAAAAACACAGCUCUCUGCUAAAUCGUAAGAUGAUGUAUAGGGGGUGACGCCUGCCCGGUGCUGGAAGGUUAAGAGGAGUGCUUAGCGUAAGCGAAGGUAUGAAUUGAAGCCCCAGUAAACGGCGGCCGUAACUAUAACGGUCCUAAGGUAGCGAAAUUCCUUGUCGGGUAAGUUCCGACCCGCACGAAAGGCGUAAUGAUUUGGGCACUGUCUCAACGAGAGACUCGGUGAAAUUUUAGUACCUGUGAAGAUGCAGGUUACCCGCGACAGGACGGAAAGACCCCAUGGAGCUUUACUGCAGUUUGAUAUUGAGUGUCUGUACCACAUGUACAGGAUAGGUAGGAGUCUAAGAGAUCGGGACGCCAGUUUCGAAGGAGACGCUGUUGGGAUACUACCCUUGUGUUAUGGCCACUCUAACCCAGAUAGGUGAUCCCUAUCGGAGACAGUGUCUUACGGGCAGUUUGACUGGGGCGGUCGCCUCCUAAAAGGUAACGGAGGCGCCCAAAGGUUCCCUCAGAAUGGUUGGAAAUCAUUCGCAGAGUGUAAAGGUAUAAGGGAGCUUGACUGCGAGAGCUACAACUCGAGCAGGGACGAAAGUCGGGCUUAGUGAUCCGGUGGUUCCGUAUGGAAGGGCCAUCGCUCAACGGAUAAAAGCUACCCUGGGGAUAACAGGCUUAUCUCCCCCAAGAGUUCACAUCGACGGGGAGGUUUGGCACCUCGAUGUCGGCUCGUCGCAUCCUGGGGCUGUAGUCGGUCCCAAGGGUUGGGCUGUUCGCCCAUUAAAGCGGCACGCGAGCUGGGUUCAGAACGUCGUGAGACAGUUCGGUCCCUAUCCGUCGCGGGCGUAGGAAAUUUGAGAGGAUCUGCUCCUAGUACGAGAGGACCAGAGUGGACUUACCGCUGGUGUACCAGUUGUCUUGCCAAAGGCAUCGCUGGGUAGCUAUGUAGGGAAGGGAUAAACGCUGAAAGCAUCUAAGUGUGAAACCCACCUCAAGAUGAGAUUUCCCAUGAUUAUAUAUCAGUAAGAGCCCUGAGAGAUGAUCAGGUAGAUAGGUUAGAAGUGGAAGUGUGGCGACACAUGUAGCGGACUAAUACUAAUAGCUCGAGGACUUAUCCAA
rnacentral:rRNA from 1 species